rnacentral:rRNA from 1 species
GACGAACGCUGGCGGCGUGCUUAACACAUGCAAGUCGAACGGAAAGGCCCUGCUUUUGCGGGGUGCUCGAGUGGCGAACGGGUGAGUAACACGUGAGUAACCUGCCCUUGACUUUGGGAUAACUUCAGGAAACUGGGGCUAAUACCGCAUAGGAGCUCCUGCUGCAUGGUGGGGGUUGGAAAGUUUCGGCGGUUGGGGAUGGACUCGCGGCUUAUCAGCUUGUUGGUGGGGUAGUGGCUUACCAAGGCUUUGACGGGUAGCCGGCCUGAGAGGGUGACCGGCCACAUUGCGACUGAGAGAGGGCGCAGACUCCUACGUGAGGCAGCAGUCGGGAAUAUUGCGCAAUGGGGGGAAGCCUGAUGCAGCAACGCCGCGUGCGGGAUGACGGCCUUCGGGGUGUAAACCGCUUUCGCCGGUGACGAAGCGGGAGUGACGGUAAUGGGUAAAGAAGCACCGGCUAACUACGUG